GGGGAUGUCGGGUUUCGACAGGUAGUCAGAUUGAAGAAUUGCAGGCCGAGGUGUCGGUACGCACUCUCGUUAAACAACCGACAAAAAAUUAGUUGCCAAACCAGCAACAAACUUCGCUCUCGCUGCCUAAGAAGUAGUGACGCGACGUCUGCCCGACCUUUCCUCGUGGGUCGGAUCCAGGCGCCAUAAACGCGAGGUGCGGUAACGGCCACCGUCUUCUAACCGUUAUCAAAGACCAGAGGGCCAACGCUUAGGUAUCCUGUCGAUGGGAGACCGAGGCGUAUAAGAAAAACAUCGACUAAGCCUGUAGUACAUUCCUCGGUAGGGCUGUUUGGACGGGGAGUUCAACUCUCCCCCAUCUCCACCA
rnacentral:tmRNA from 1 species